rnacentral:rRNA from 1 species
GCGUGGGAAUCUACCUAGUAGUGGGGGACAACAGUCGGAAACGACUGCUAAUACCGCAUACGUCCUAUGGGAGAAAGUGGGGGAUCUUCGGACCUCACGCUAUUAGAUGAGCCCGCGUAAGAUUAGCUAGUUGGUGGGGUAAAGGCCCACCAAGGCGACGAUCUUUAGCUGGUCUGAGAGGAUGAUCAGCCACAUUGGGACUGAGACACGGCCCAAACUCCUACGGGAGGCAGCAGUGGGGAAUAUUGCACAAUGGGGGAAACCCUGAUGCAGCCAUGCCGCGUGUGUGAAGAAGGCCUU